AGCCAGGCCCCGCGCUAGCGGCCGCCGCGAAACCCCGCCAGGCCCGGAAGGGAGCAACGGUACGCGGUAGGCGCUGAGUCGCGGCAAGCCUGGCUUCG
rnacentral:SRP_RNA from 1 species